AAUGGAGAUGGGAACUGAAGACAUAUGUCUGAAGUGUUGCAGAAGACAGCAGCCAAACCUUCAGCACGUAAGCUGUGUGGGUGGUGUGAGGAGAGCUGCUUUCCUUAAUGCUUCAAGGAUUCCUUGGGCAAAGUUAUUCUGUUCUUUUAUUUUUUUCUUCUUCUUUUUGACAGAAAACAGCGAUUCAGAGAGGCAGCAAAUAACAUUUUGUUAAGUGCACCCUCGUUAAGUUUGCAGAUGGCACCAAGUUGGGAGGAAGCAUUGAUCUGCCUGCGGGUAGGGAGGCCCUACAGAGGGAUGUAUGUAGGCCGGAUCACUGGGCUGAGGGCAAUUGUAUGAGCUUCUAUAAGGACAUGGGCUGGGUGCUUUGGUCACAACAACUCCGUGCAUUGGUACCGGGUUGGAGCAGAGUAGCUGGAAAGCUACAUGGAGGAAAAGGAUCUAGGGGUGUUAGCUGACAGCUGGCUGAACAUGAGCCAGCAGUGUGUCCAGGUGAGCAAGAGGGCCAAUGGCAUUUUGGGUUGUAUCAGAAAUAGAGCAGCCUGUGUAUGUGUGUUGAGCAGCCCUGGGGUGGUAACUGUCCAUGCAAAAGCACUUUUGAGUUUCCAGUUUCUCUCAGCAUCUUCUGCUCAUGAAUGGAUUAAGCUGCACAGCCACCCUGAGGUGGAUUAGCAUCCUGCUCUGCAAGAGCAAACCUUAAGUCAGGGCAAUGUUGCAUCUGCCAGAAUCAAACAGGGUAGCACUGGCAAACACCCCUCCUCUCCCAACACCCAGCCCUGUGUUUUUCAGUCAACAAGCCUCUAUUUUCUUGCAGGAUUACACAAACACUCAGGAGGAAAACAACUAAUCUAAAGGCUUAUUGCCAUGCAGAAAUCUCUGUGCCUUCUGGAUUUCUUCCUUUGGAGCCACGGUGAGAAUGGACACAUCAAUACAGCCUUCUGCAGGAAAGCUGACACUUUCAAAUCGGAGCCGUGCUGCAAUAACUGAAACCCCCUGCCAGCUUAGUGACGGUGCUUUCUAAUCAACUUUGCAAUGAAUAUUUCUUAAAUCAUGUUAAUCCACCAUUUAAGCAGGGGUAGCAGUUCCAGACAAUAAAACAUUGUACCUGGAGGGGAACAUACCUGCCGCUUCCCGAGAGAGGAGGCAAUUAGCAGUGCAAGUGAUGUCAGAUGAGCUAACAACACCAGCAUUUAUCAUCCUGAGCUCGUUUCCUGCAAGGAAGGGAAUCUUCACACUCUGCUUCUGUUGCAAUCAGCUUUUAUUUAUGUUGUGGUUGUGGAAAGCAGCUCUUAAAGGAGAAGUGAAGCUGCACUCUCUGGAGCACUUUUACUCUGAUCUACACAGAUGCAUUUCCUUCUGGAGUAUGCUGAAUGCUGAGUUCUAAUGUGGAAACAAGAGUCCUAAAAUGAGAGUAAGCAGGAUGCAGUGCCCAGCUUUGAAAAUGCAAGCCUGGAGACCCACAGACCUCAGUGAAACAUUGAUGAAGAAGCCAAACUGCCUUUUUCAUGAGCAUUUUCAUCUUCUCAUCUUCCCAAGCUCCUGUGGACCAGCUGCUAAGGAAAGGGGCACAAUGCUCAACCUCAGCUCAGCUCUGAGGUUGGAGCAAGGCAUGCAAACAGCAGGGAUAUCAGGAGGCCUCCAGAACCUGAGGAAAUUUAAUAAUCAGGACUUUGAGCACCUGCGAUCCCUGUGUCUGAGCCAAGGCCUGUUGUUUGAGGAUGACACCUUCCCUGCUCACUCCAGCUCCAUUGGUCACAACUUGCUCCCAAAGGAUGAGCUGCGGCAAAUAGAGUGGAAGAGGCCAACGGAGCUUAUGAGAAAACCCUAUUUGAUACUGGAUGGAGUUAGCAGAUUUGAUAUUAUUCAAGGAGAAAUAGGUGACUGCUGGAUGUUGGCUGCCCUGGGCUCCCUGACGAUGCAGAAACGAUUUUUGGAGAAUGUUUUACCAAAGGACCAAGGAUUCCAGAGUGAUUAUGCUGGGAUUUUCCAUUUUCGGUUCUGGCAAUUUGGAGAGUGGGUGGAUGUAGUGAUAGAUGACCGGCUACCUUUCCUAAAUGGGAAUUACCUGUCUGUACACCCUCGAACAUCAAAUGAAUUCUGGCCAUCCUUGCUGGAAAAAGCAUAUGCCAAGCUGCUUGGCUCCUACCAGAACUUGCACGGGGGCUACAUUUCCGAUGCUUUAGUAGACUUCACAGGUGGAGUCCAAAUGCAGUUUUCAUUAAAGGACCCCCCUCCUGAUCUGGAGGACAUACUGAAAGCUGCUAGCAAAUCUGGAUGUCUGAUGGGAUGUAGCACCUCGGGCCGGAUGAGAAACACAGUAUUAAGGAAUGGGAUUGUACAAGGUCAUGCGUACACUGUCACAGGAGCUGUGAAGAUACAAUUCAAGAACCACUGGGAACAUAUAAUCAGAGUCUGGAAUCCAUGGGGCCAUGGGGAGUGGAAGGGGCCCUGGAGUGAUGGCUCUCCAGAAUGGGACUAUGUUGAGCCUGAAAUUAAGGAAGAGCUCUACAGAAAGAAAAAUGAUGGAGAAUUCUGGAUGUCCUGUGAAAGCUUUCGGGAGCAAUUUUCCUGGCUGUAUGUAUGUAACUGCACUCCAACUUUUCUCGACUUCAGAGAUCAGCCCCGCACAGGAUGGUCUGUGGACAGACACAUCAACCUGCUCGCUACUGGAAGGAACUACUGGUCCUCUGCAGGUGCAGGGUCAAAGAACCCUCAAUAUUUCUUCAAAGUGACAAAUCAUGACCCCAAAUCCUACAACGUGGUCAUUUCACUCAUACAAAAAAAUGCGGAGGGUACGCAGGAUGCACAGAAAUUGAAGAUUGGCUUUUUAAUCACCACGGAGAACUCCAGAGUUCUGAAACAAGAUUUCUCCCUUGUGCGAGACGUGAGCAGCUGCUUUAGUUUGAGCCCAGGAACUUAUGCUGUCAUUCCUGCUACAACAGAGGGCCGAGAAUUUGAGUUUGUCUUACGAAUUUUCAUAAAGAAUCAAGACUACAAUGAGAACUCAGACACUCAGCUCAACCCAAUGCUGCUGAUGGAUGUACCAAGACAGAUACAGGACAGCUCCUAUAAGGCGAUCUUCCUAAAGUAUGCGAAGCAGGGUUCAGCUAUUGAUGCUUUGCAGUUGCAACAACUUCUUAAUGACGUGGUCCUGCAAGAUGAAAUGGCCAGCCUGGGAGGAGAGUUCAGCUUUGAUUCAUGUCGAGCCAUUUUAGCUCUGAUGGAUCUCAAUUCAAAUGGACAACUCACGCUGCAGGAGUUUGGGAGCCUCUGGCGAAGUGUCACCAAGUACAUGGAUCUCUUCAGGAGGGAAGACAAAAACCAUUCUGGAUUUCUUGAUGUAUCUGAACUGAAGAGUGCAAUACAGGCAGCAGGCCUGCCCGUCAAUGAGCAGAUCCUGCGCCUGAUGACCCUGCGCUACGGCGACGUGUACAGGAGAAUGGGCUUUGCUGACUUUGUGAGCUGCAUGCUGCGCCUCGAAACCAUGACCUAUGCAUUUCAAAACUUAGCCAAAGAUGGACCGCAAGUUUUGAUGACGAUGAUGGAGUGGCUGACUCUUGUCAUGUACAUCUGAAGAGUUGUCAGAGCUCAAUGCACUGGUGAGAAAUCUCCUUAGUACUGUACACACUGAGAAGAAAGGGACUUGCCUCGGACAGCACACCGUCCCUUUGUCAACAAAGCUGUAUUUUGGUGCAUUCAUGCUGGGUAGAAACAGGUUAUUAACAACACAGAACCCACCCCUUGCACCACACGGUGCUAUUAGGUGGCUUUUCUCCUCUUCGGUACGAGGCACGUCCAGGUCAUCCCAUUCAACAUCCAUCCACCGGGCUCUAGAAGAAGCAAGCACUGGAAGCGUGAAGCUGUGUUUUCUUAUUUGCUUAUGUGUCACAGUACUUAAAACUGAAAGAUAACUGUAACUUAUGGGUAACCCCCACACAAACUUCACCUCCAUUCCUUUAGCACAAUGGUAAAAGUGAUCUGGUGUUCCAUUCUGCUCAUUACUGGGGCCAUCCUGGCAUUUUUCAGGCAGUGGGGAUAUCCCCUUUUGUAGCACCCUGAGGAAAUGUUAUAGAGCCUUCCCAGCUCCCUUCCCCAUAGGACAAACUGUGCCACGUGAGGCUGAUGCUCAUUAAACAAGGAACAUAGCCGUUCACUUUAGGAAAUAGCAUUUCCUUGUUUUAUACGUCAUAUAUUAGAUUCAGUGCUAUUCAGCACCAAAUGCCAAGCUGCUGCAGAAACACCUCUGAAUUGAAGCCGGUUGUGUGAGAAGAAAGAUCACUGUGCAAAUAACAAUGUGUGUUUGAAAGGAAUGCAUUUUGGAAAGGAGAUGGGGGAUCUCUUUUAAUGUGCAUUUAAUAGAAGUGAGUGCUAAGGAAGGCAGACGUCAGCACUCAUCUCAGCUGCUCGGAGGUGGAAGCAUGACAUUGCGGACACUUCUUCAUAGAUGGCAGAUGUUUUCUAAAGCCCAAGUUCAGAGUAUGGGAUAGAGGAAUUCAAUUUCCAUUAAAUCACAACAGGAAAAAAAUCACUUCUGCUUUUCUGGUGCAAUUUCACUUGUUCCAGCUGGGAGGGGGGAUGUGCUGUUGGGCACUGAAUGGCUCAAGACAGUUUGUUGUCCAUGCAGGCACCCCAGGAUGUGCCCACAGUGCUGCUGGGCCAACAGUGGCCACAUUCCCAGUGACCAGUGUUAGAAACAUUCAAGAGUUGCUCAUAAAAGUAUAAUUUUCCAUAUGAAUAGACUGAGGUGGUGAUUUUGUGAGAGACGUGAAGCACAAACAUCUGGAUGUUUCAGUAUAAUAAUGUGUUUCUGCCAUACCACUAAUGAAGAAGAGCUGCCAUUAGGCACCUGUGGCUUUCAA